rnacentral:lncRNA from 1 species
UUAGAUUUGAGAAGGGUCAGUGCUAUCCGGGAUCAUUGGGAAGUCCCUACAUCAUUGAAGUGGACAUUUAAAACGGUUAAUGGUAAGGUUAAGGUGAGGGUUUAGUGUAGGGACGUCCCAAGGACCCCGGAUAGCAUUGGCCGUUUGAGAAGUGCGCUCCUCUCACUGCUUUUGCCGGUUCACUGUAACGGGCCAUAGACCUGUGCACCGCAUAUCAGGUUAAUAGAACGGCCUCAAAAGCGAUUAAGGAAAGUUUCCAACCGUGUCACGGCGGUCAAAGCACCUAUUUCCCCUAAAACCUUUGUCGCGUUAAAAAAAAAAAAGGCAAUUCGGAUGCAUCCGUCUUCAGUGCGUCCACGACAACUGGGAACUCGGAAAGAAAUAGCUCCGACUGAGUAAAAUCGUUUUGAACGGUCAUCCAAAGAAAAUCACUGACGUCAUGAUUUGACCACGUUUUGUACGAGUUACCAGUUGACUUGAAAGCACCAUACAUUCUCGGAGCUACACUAGAGGACACGGUUAUCGGUAAUAUUACAGCAACAAAGCCAUCCGGACGCGUGGAGGCAAACUGAGAAUGACUACCACAUGAGCGAGAAUACCGGGGAGAGGCUCAUUUAACGGUAUUUCUCCGGUAUAGGCUAAGCGGUAGAGUCUACAGACAAAAAUAGAAGACAAUAUGAUAAGCAGAUCAUCUUUUGCUGACUCGAAUAUUCUACACACUGUCAGUCAACAACAAUAGAAUGUAGUUUUAUAUGUCCUAUUCUCUUCACGUUUCCUGCUAUUGUUCAGUAACAACGAUACUACUGCUGCUGACUCGUCCUCUGGCUUUGCAGCAUCCAAAGCAGAUCACUCAGGGGAUGAGGGCUCUUUGGCGCAGUCCGUGAGAGAUGAGGUGAAAGCUGGAUUAGUUAAAUAAGGACCCUCGGUAAAUCUUACGGAGAAACAGGGGACAGUAGCGGGGCUAACCUCUGCGGACAAACCGGAGGAGGACAGUGAAUGCCGAUUCGUGGGGAAGAUAACGGAUCCGGUGGCAGCGGACAGGAGGACAGUUUGGGAGGAGGGGAUCCACGCUGCUGAAGUUAGGAUCCACGCUGGCGCGCACGAGGAAAAUGUGAAAUCUGGCAUGUCUGGCCAACAGUGCUGUAACUCAAAUCCUGCCUCAGCGCCGGUGGACAUUCCAUGAAGUGACUUUGGUCACCUACAGUUCCCUGAGGGGUGGUCUUUUCUCUUAGCAGAUAUGGAAGAAGUGGACGCAGAAUAUGCGCCCAUGAAAUACGCCCCCAGGAUGCUGCGGACCAGACAGAUGGAGAUGAUGAAGAGCUGGAGAAGGAACAGAGGUGAGGGCAGCAGAGUGGACACUCAGAUUCGUAAACCUUUGUGAUUUUCCCAGGGUGCAACGGGAGCAGCUGGCAGCCAUCUUCCAGCUGCUGAAGGAGAACCAGGAGAUGUUUGGGGAGAUGUCAGAGGGAGACAUGGAGGAGCAACUCUACUCCAUCUAAACCCCUAGUCUACUCACAGUCGACUGUACUACGUCUAACUCUACUUUUCCCAAACUCUACUCUAUGUUAAUCCCACAUAAAACUGACAAUCAAGACCAAGGUGCAUUCACACGGUCCACUGGGUUUCAAAGGGGGUGUUGUUUCAAAGGUCCACUCUAUUUUGAGGCACAUACUCUUCUCUAAAGAUUCUGAGGUGAUAGCUAAUCAGGCUUUGGAUAGUUGGGCCUGAGUGAUUUGAUUGGUCUGGUAAAAUCUGAGGUUCUUAUACCGUAGACACCCAUGAAAGCCAACAGUUUCAGCAAGCCUCACAUCAAACACUUAUCUGGACAGAUCUUACUCCUUUCAGCUAUUCCUUGCCUUGCCUCGGCCGUAUCCUUAUCUCACCCUUUCCUAUGGAGCACCCUUUCCCUCUAGACCCCUCUGUUUGAACAAACACAUCAUUGGUGCGAACACAAACAUGUACGUUAGAUACUUCAACACGGCUUCUGCUGUUUAUUACUUUUAAAUACCAUUCAAAGCAAUAAACACUGUA